GACGAACGCUGGCGGCGUGCCUAAUACAUGCAAGUAGAACGCUGAAGGAGGAGCUUCCUUCUCUGGAUGAGUUGCGAACGGGUGAGUAACGCGUAGGUAACCUGCCUGGUAGCGGGGGAUAACUAUUGGAAACGAUAGCUAAUACCGCAUAAUAGUAGAUGUUGCAUGACAUUUGCUUAAAAGGUGCAAUUGCAUCACUACCAGAUGGACCUGCGUUGUAUUAGCUAGUUGGUGGGGUAACGGCUCACCAAGGCGACGAUACAUAGCCGACCUGAGAGGGUGAUCGGCCACACUGGGACUGAGACACGGCCCAGACUCCUACGGGAGGCAGCAGUAGGGAAUCUUCGGCAAUGGACGGAAGUCUGACCGAGCAACGCCGCGUGAGUGAAGAAGGGUUUCGGAUCGUAAAGCUCUGUUGUAAGAGAAGAACGAGUGUGAGAGUGGAAAGUUCACACUGUGACGGUAUCUUACCAGAAAGGGACGGCUAACUACGUG
rnacentral:rRNA from 1 species